UGCAAUUAGGAAUUGGUUUGAUAUGAUUAUUAUGCUUAUAUGUGACUCUAGACGUUCUUAAGUUCCCUUUAAAAUUUCAUUAUUUUGAGGUUCGAUUUGUAGAUUUAGAUUUUUUUUUAUUUGAUCGUCCGACCAUGUUAUUAUGAUAUUAUUACACUUGUGUGUAUAUUCGGUUUGGAGAUCGAGGGGCUCAGGUGAAUUUUGAACAUGUUUUAGAUGAGUUUAGAUAGUGCAAAGAUAGUUGGUGUCCUUGCGAACAAUGGCUUGCAUUUGCAAGCAUGACUUGGGACGGGCUAAUAUCGCAAUUGCGAGAAACUUGUUUGCCUUUGCAAACUACCGGUGGUCACUUUUGCAAUCUCUCAGUCGCAUUUGCAACUCAGCAUGCUUUUGGGUGAUUUUCUCAAUUGUG
rnacentral:lncRNA from 1 species